AGGUGGGGAUGACGUCAAGUCCUCAUGGCCUUUAUGCCAGGGCUACACACGUGUUACAAUGGGAGUUACAGAGGGAAGCUAAACCGUGAGGUCAUGYCAAUCCCAGAAAAACUUUCUCAGUUCGGAUCGCAGUCUGCAACUCGACUGCGUGAAGCUGGAAUCGCUAGUAAUCGCGGAUCAGCACGCCGCGGUGAAUACGUUCCCGGGCCUU
rnacentral:rRNA from 1 species